rnacentral:lncRNA from 1 species
UAUAUGGUUAAUAGGUGCGGCGGCAAGAAUCGAGGUUAAUUAAUUAUGUGGCGGCAAGGAUCGAGGUUAUUGGGUGCGGUGGCAAGGAUUUAGGUUAUUGGGUGCAGCGGCAAAGAAUGAGGUUAAUUAAUUAUACGGCGGCAAGGAUCGAGGUUAAUUAAUUAUAUGGCUUAUGCAUGCAUGCUCACAGACUCUAGGGUUUUCUGUAAAAUAAAUGAACUUCAUCCUGGCCUAACAUUUAUAAUAUCUAAUUUUUAUCAUCAUCUUAAUUAAGGUCUUCGAUUUAAUAUAUAAUUUUUUAAAAAAUUAAAUUUGAAACUAUAUAGAUUUUAAAUUAAAAUUUAUAGAUUAAAAUAGGAAUUUAAUAUAUAAUUUUUUAAAAAAUUAAAUUUGAAACUGAUUAGACUAUUCAAAAUAUAAAAUAAAAUAUUUUUUUCAUCCAAAUUUGCACUCGAAAUUACAAUUUAAAUUCCUAUUUUAAUCUAUAAAUUUUAAUUUAAAAUCUAUAUAAAAUUUAAUAUUUAAUAUUUAAAAAAUAUAUUUUAAAUUAAAUUUUAUAUAUCAAAUUCAAAAUGCUUGAUAAAGUUUUUUUUUUUAAGUUCAAAUUAGAAUCUAAAACUAAAAAGUUAAUUUCUAAAUUUCAACUUAUAUUUUAA